rnacentral:rRNA from 1 species
AACGCUAGCUACAGGCUUAACACAUGCAAGUCGAGGGGUUUCAAAGGAGCUUGCUCCUGCGGAACGACCGGCGCACGGGUGAGUAACGCGUAUCCAACCUGCCCUUCAUAUUGGUAUAGCCUCCCGAAAGGGAGAUUAAUCCCGAAUGCCAUAUCAUAGUUGCCUGACGAUGAUAUGAAAGCUCCGGCGAUGAAGGAUGGGGAUGCGUUCCAUUAGGUAGUAGGCGGGGUAACGGCCCACCUAGCCGACGAUGGAUAGGGGUUCUGAGAGGAAGGUCCCCCACACUGGAACUGAGACACGGUCCAGACUCCUACGGGAGGCAGCAGUGAGGAAUAUUGGUCAAUGGGCGCAAGCCUGAACCAGCCAAGUAGCGUGAAGGAAGACUGCCCUAUGGGUUGUAAACUUCUUUUAUACGGGAACAACCACAGGUACGUGUACCUGUCUGCGUGUACCGUAUGAAUAAGCAUCGGCUAACUCCGUGCCAGCAGCCGCGGUAAUACGGAGGAUGCGAGCGUUAUCCGGAUUUAUUGGGUUUAAAGGGAGCGUAGGUGGUUUGUUAAGCCAGCUGUGAAAUACUGUAGCUCAACUACAGCCGUGCAGUUGGAACUGGCAGACUUGAGUGCACAAGAGGAAGGUGGAAUUCAUGGUGUAGCGGUGAAAUGUUUAGAUAUCACGAAGAACUCCGAUUG